GGAGUUUGGACCGUGUCUCAGUUCCAAUGUGGCCGAUCACCCUCUCAGGUCGGCUACCGAUCGUCGGCUUGGUAGGCCGUUACCCCACCAACUACCUAAUCAGACGCGAGCCCCUCCCGUACCGAUAAAUCUUUUCUCUCUCCUCCAUGUGAAGGUGGGAGCUUAUGCGGUAUUAGCAACGAUUUCUCGUUGUUAUUCCCCUGUACGGGGCAGGUUGCUCACGCGUUACUCACCCGUCCGCCGCUAAGCUUCGAAAAGCAAGCUUCUCUAACUUCGCUCGACUUGCAUGUGUUAGGCACGCCGCCAGCGUUCAUC
rnacentral:rRNA from 1 species